AGAGUUUGAUCAUGGCUCAGAACGAACGCUGGCGGCGCGCCUAAUACGUGCAAGUCGAGCGAGAAGACGUAGCAAUACGUUUGUAAAGCGGCGAACGGGUGAGGAAUACAUGGGUAACCUACCCUCGAGUGGGGAAUAACUAGCCGAAAGGUUAGCUAAUACCGCAUACGACUCUCGGUCUGCGGAUCGGGAGAGAAAGCGAUACCGUGGGUAUCGCGCUCCUGGAUGGGCUCAUGUCCUAUCAGCUUGUUGGUGAGGUAACGGCUCACCAAGGCUUCGACGGGUAGCUGGUCUGAGAGGACGAUCAGCCACACUGGCACUGCGACACGGGCCAGACUCCUACGGGAGGCAGCAGUAAGGAAUAUUGCGCAAUGGGCGACAGCCUGACGCAGCGACGCCGCGUGGGGGAUGAAGGUCUUCGGAUUGUAAACCCCUUUCGGCAGGGAAGAUGGAACGGGAAACCGUUCGGACGGUACCUGCAGAAGCAGCCACGGCUAACUUCGUGCCAGCAGCCGCGGUAAUACGAAGGUGGCAAGCGUUGUUCGGAUUUACUGGGCGUACAGGGAGCGUAGGCGGUCGGGUAAGCCCUUCGUGAAAUCUCCGGGCCUAACCCGGAAAGUGCGGAGGGGACUGCUCGGCUAGAGGAUGGGAGAGGAGCGCGGAAUUCCCGGUGUAGCGGUGAAAUGCGUAGAGAUCGGGA
rnacentral:rRNA from 1 species